UACGUAGGGUGCAAGCGUUAAUCGGAAUUACUGGGCGUAAAGCGUGCGCAGGCGGUUAUGUAAGACAGAUGUGAAAUCCCAGGGCUCAACCUUGGAACUGCAUUUGUGACUGCAUAGCUAGAGUACGGUAGAGGGGGAUGGAAUUCCGCGUGUAGCAGUGAAAUGCGUAGAUAUCAGGAAGAACACCAACGGCGAAGGCAGCUCGCUGGGACGGUACUGACGCUGAGACGCGAAAGCGUGGGGAGCGAACAGG
rnacentral:rRNA from 1 species